rnacentral:rRNA from 1 species
UACGAAGGGAGCUAGCGUUGUUCGGAAUCACUGGGCGUAAAGGGCGCGUAGGCGGAUCUUUAAGUCAGGGGUGAAAGCCUGAGGCUCAACCUCAGAAUUGCCUUUGAUACUGAAGAUCUUGAGACCGGAAGAGGUAAGUGGAACUGCGAGUGUAGAGGUGAAAUUCGUAGAUAUUCGCAAGAACACCAGUGGCGAAGGCGGCUUACUGGUCCAGAUCGUGACGCUGAGGUGCGAAAGCGUGGGGAGCAACAGG